ACGGCCCACAGUACCCCUGACUGUGCAAAGGUAGCAUMMUACAYUUGCCACUUAAUUAGUGGCUGGAAUGAAGGAAUAAAUGGAAAGCCCCUUUAUUAUUCUUGAUAGUAUAAAUUAGUACUCAGACGAACAACCCUGAAUACCCCUGAAAGACAAAAAGACCCUACUGAACUUAAAGAAAUCCGUUACCAUUAACCCAUAAUCUUUUAGCUGGGAAGGCUUAAGAGCACCCUCAACCUCUUAGUACCCAUCAGACCCUGAGUCCCUCUACUGACCCACCAAUUGUUCACCAAAUAUAAGUUACCAUAGGGAUAACAGGCUAAUACUUCUCGAAAGUCCACAUUAACAGAAGUGAUUGGCACCUCGAUGUUGGCUUAGGAAUACUCUAUAUCGCAGCCGAUAUAAAUAGUUGG
rnacentral:rRNA from 1 species